AUGAUGGUGGAAUCUGUUAACGUGGCGAUUAAGUGUGUUCAGGAGCUGAUAGAAAAAACAAGACACUUCAAUCAAACCAGCAUGCAUAAUGCAUUGGGUGUGUAUUGGAGUAGUUAUUUCGUUCAAGACGGGCCCAGUGUUGAAGACGUUUUUACUUGUAUGAACAGUGGUUUUAUUGGUGCGUUCAUUGGGCUUUACAAGAAGCCCCACUCAGCCAGGCUUGGACCUUUGCUGUUCCAGACGUUUUAUCAGAAAAAUGUAUUCCUUGGUACAACUGUACUUGAUGUGAGGCCAGCUCCACAUCUGUCUAAAUCUGUACCCAUAUCCUGA
rnacentral:rRNA from 1 species